rnacentral:rRNA from 1 species
GACGAACGCGGCGGCGUGCUUAACACAUGCAAGUCGAACGCUGAAGCCCAGCUUGCUGGGUGGAUGAGUGGCGAACGGGUGAGUAACACGUGAGUAACCUGCCCCCUUCUUUGGGAUAACGCCCGGAAACGGGUGCUAAUACAGGAUAUUCACUGGCCUUCGCAUGGGGGUUGGUGGAAAGGUUUUUUCUGGUGGGGGAUGGGCUCGCGGCCUAUCAGCUUGUUGGUGGGGUGAUGGCCUACCAAGGCUUUGACGGGUAGCCGGCCUGAGAGGGUGACCGGUCACAUUGGGACUGAGAUACGGCCCAGACUCCUACGGGAGGCAGCAGUGGGGAAUAUUGCACAAUGGGCGAAAGCCUGAUGCAGCGACGCCGCGUGAGGGAUGACGGCCUUCGGGUUGUAAACCUCUUUCGCUCAUGGUCAAGCCGCAGCUUUGGGUUGUGGUGAGGGUAGUGGGUAAAGAAGCGCCGGCUAACUACGUGCCAGCAGCCGCGGUAAUACGUAGGGCGCGAGCGUUGUCCGGAAUUAUUGGGCGUAAAGGGCUUGUAGGCGGUUGGUCGCGUCUGCCGGAGAAUUGCAUCAGAAACUGUUGAACUUGAGUGCAGAAGAGGAGAGUGGAACUCCAUGUGUAGCGGUGGAAUGCGUAGAUAUAUGGAAGAACACCAGUGGCGAAGGCGGCUCUCUGGUCUGCAACUGACGCUGAGGCUCGAAAGCAUGGGUAGCGAACAGG